rnacentral:rRNA from 1 species
UACGGGGGGGGCAAGCGUUGUUCGGAAUUACUGGGCGUAAAGGGCUCGUAGGUGGCCAACUAAGUCAGACGUGAAAUCCCUCGGCUUAACCGGGGAACUGCGUCUGAUACUGGAUGGCUUGAGUUUGGGAGAGGGAUGCGGAAUUCCAGGUGUAGCGGUGAAAUGCGUAGAUAUCAGGAGGAACACCGGUGGUGUAGACGGCUUUCUGGACCGUAACUGACGCUGAAACACGAAAGCGUGGGUAGCAAACAGG